UACAAUCUUACAAUCUCAUCUUAUAAUGUCUCAACAAUACUCUGAACGAAUUUGGUAAGUGCUGCUGAUCUAAAAAUUGACACCCCAAAACAGCAAUCUCUAUAAUCCUUUCGAAGAAUAGAAAAACUCCCCAAUAUUUAUUGAUUCCAUGCUUCUUAGUCUCCCCCCAUAUCCAGAUCGGUUACCAAGAAUUUUUUAAUCUUAAACAAACUUUAAUUACCAAAUUAUCCCUAAAGUUUGAUGCAAGAUCGCAAUCGGGAUCGGGCACUCGAAAUUAACACUUCAACUUCAUUUUGUUGAGCCGCGAGAGAGAGAGAGAGAAGGCAUGAGAUCUCUGCCAUACCCAGUUCUCUUAGCCUUGAUCUCUCUGCAUCUGCAAAUCCUUUCUGGACUUGUUGAGGCAUCUGGUACCAAAAAUGAAGAUAAAGAUGUAAGUCAUAAAAGCUCUAUGGGGAUCAAGAUAAUUAUAGUAUGCCUCAGUGUGGUGGCUCUGUUAGCACUAUCUGUUUUUCUUUUCAAAUUAUGGCAAAAGAAGAGGAGAGAAGCGCAGCAUGCUCGUCUUUUGAAGCUGUUUGAAGACGAUGAUGAACUCGAGGUUGAACUUGGUAUGCAGGAUUGAACACUAUUUCAUACAUUUUGAUUUUUAUUGAAGGGUUCCUCUGCUCUAUUCUCGGUUUGAUUCGACUCUAGCUCAGGCGAUUUUGAAUGUUGAAAUCGGACAUUGAAUUCUUGCUUUGUCCCAAGUUGUUUCCUCUCGCGGUUAAGCAGCGGCUGGCCAUGGAGGACUUUAGGAUUUAAUUUUGUCAGUUGACACAGUAACUCCGAGGUCUCUUAGUUUGUCCUGUACAAAUAUAUUCAUAGUUGAUUUCCUUUUGUACCAUAAAAGUAUUAAGGCAUUAAUACUACUGAUCUGCAAGUAUUGCACUAUACAAUUUGUUACAAUCAUAUAUCUCUUGUUCUUUUUGUUGGAUGAAUACAGUUCAACAUAAGGAGGUUGAGACGUGUAUUGUUUUUCUGGCAGUCUUGCAAUAAAGUUGUGGAAAUUUCGUUAGUCUGUGUAUCUUUCAGCUUUGUAAAAUUGUAUAACUGAAUGGUGCUCUGUACCAAGGCCAAGGAGAAUCAUUUUAACUCCAUAUUCUUUUUUCAUUGAUAA